rnacentral:rRNA from 1 species
UACGUAGGGGGCAAGCGUUGUCCGGAAUUAUUGGGCGUAAAGCGCGCGCAGGCGGUUUUUUAAGUCUGGUGUAUAAACCUUGGGCUCAACUUAAGGAGGCACUGGAAACUGGGGAACUGGAGUGUAGGAGAGGAAAGUGGAAUUCCACGUGUAGCGGUGAAAUGCGUAGAGAUGUGGAGGAACACCAGUGGCGAAGGCGGCCAUCUGGGACAACACUGACGCUGAAGCACGAAAGCGUGGGGAGCAAACAGG